rnacentral:tRNA from 1 species
ACCUGGGUGGCUUAGUCGGUUAAGCAUCUGACUUCAGCUCAGGUCAUGAUCUUGCGGUCUGUGAGUUCGAGCCCCGGGUU